rnacentral:lncRNA from 1 species
AUCGAUCCAAAUAAGUGCGAAGGUAAACAGUUAGAAUUGUAACAUGAACUAAAAAGCCAAGCCAAUUUUGUGUAGUUUUUAAUAAUCCUAAGUGCAACUGAAUUUAAACAAAGUGAAACUAUAGAAUAUAAGCUAAGCACCCAAAACCUAACAUAAAAUGUAAAUGAAACGUAGUUUAAACUAGUUAAAAAAUGAAAAGAGUUAAGCUCUCAAGGAUAA